rnacentral:rRNA from 1 species
GACGAACGCUGGCGGCGUGCCUAAUACAUGCAAGUAGGACGCAGUUGCGCACGGGUGAGUAACGCGUAGGUAACUGUCUCUUAGAGGGGGAUAACACUCUGAAACGCUAGCUAAUACCGCAUACUCGUAGAUGGACCUACGUUGGAUUAGCUAGUAGGUAGGGUAAUGGCCUACCUAGCCGACGAUACAUAGCCGACCGUAGAGGGUGAUCGGCCACACUGGGACUGAGACACGGCCCAGACUCCUACGGGAGGCAGCAGUAGGGAAUCUUCGGCAAUGGGGGAACGCCGACCAAGCAAAGCCGGCGUAGGGGAGGAGGGUUUCGGGUCGUAAAGCCCUGUUGUUAAGGGAGCGGUACUUAACCAGAAAGGGACGGCUAACUACGUGCCAGCAGCCGCGGUAAUAC